AAUAGAAAUCUGGGGGGGCAGUGAACUGCCUGAGAUAAAAUUGAUACUAUUUUGACCCAUGAACCUGAUUUGGAUAAUGCCAACGUAGGGAGAUUAUUUGUUAUUGAA
rnacentral:ncRNA from 2 species